UGUUAGACUGUUAAAGUUGAAAACCUGUAGAGCAGUUUACAUGAAAUUCAAGACUGUGCAACAAGCUUGGAGUCGAAGUUUCUUUAGAGUCAAGCUUCGAAUAUAGAGUCAAAUGUGAUUAUCCAUAACAAUGGAGGGACAAGCACACUCUGAGAGUGGGGAAGGGAUUUUCUAUCGCAAUGUUACAGUCCUGUUAGCUACUGAUGUUGCCAAGCGAAAUGACCAGUUAUUUAUGCCAAACACAAUUGAAAUGGCAAAAAUAAAAAAGAAAGAGAAAGGGCAGUAUGUAAGCGGAAUAAAAUUCUCCAGCAAUAUGUCAGAAGAAGAAGUAAAAGGGAGAAUCCUUUCACAUUUUCCAAAUUUGAAAAAUCAAAGGUAAUAACACAGGAAUGCUGAUUUAGUUUUAGUAAAAAAAACCACAUGCCAAAAUAAUAGAAAAAUAACUGACCCAA